CUGACUGACUGACUGACCGACUGACCAACUGACUCUUGACGGACAUGAGGCUAUGGGUCUGGUUCUGCUCUACCACUUUUUCUAUCCUAAAAUGAAUAUGUAUAUAAGCGAUUAGAUCUCCAUUGGGUGGCUUGGAUCUCUACACCUAGAUGAACACAGCCCCAUGUCACGAUCCUGGAUACGUCUCUGGUCUGUCUUCUAGGGCCAAGGCAACGCCUACCAUCUCCUGAUGGCUCUCGGUCCCAGACACACACGAGGCCCUGACCCUCGGCUCGGGCGCUACCCGAGGGCCGAUCGGUCUGAAGGUCUCCUUUGGAACUAAGUUGAGAUGUGGGAAGGAUCCCCUUGAGAAGGGCAUGGGGUGGGGUGGGGGGCAGAGCCAGCAGCUGGCUUUCCACUGCAUUUUAUGCACUCCAGAUGCCUCAGCUGCUCCACUGGCCACCCCAGGAGAGACACAGACACGGCUGUCAGGGGUCCCUAGGGGAACAUCUCACUCCCUGCCCCUUGCUUCCUUCCUUCCUUCCUUCCUUCCUGUCACAGCUGUCCUAACUAGAGAGAGAGGUGAGACACUUUUCACCUACCACUAAAUAAAAAUGCUCGGGGCCUUUUCUGAAGGUGAAUCCUACGGCCACAAGAGAGAGAGAGGACUGCAUUGGAAGAGAAGGUCAUUGUAUGUUAAAAAAAAGUAUUCCAAAAAUUUCAGCGAUGCUUGGCGUAAAACUUGAACUUGUUUUUCAACGUAAAGUAAAA